CUGGGAGAGAUUGUGACAUUCCAGAGACUCCCUAGGUCACACCACCUCUGUCACAGGUCUUGGCUGGACCUGAGAGAGCGAGUGGGCAGUGAAGGUUUCAUAACAACAAAAAAGAAAGCUGGCUCCAAGUGUGGAAAGAAAGCAGAGGAAGGAACUCGUGGGGACCCUGUUGGCAGCUCUCCCUGAGGAUGGGCCGGGAUGGGGGAUCCUGGGGUCUGGGAUUCUGACCCCAAUCUUUAGAGCAGUCCCUAAGCCCCUUGCUCGCAGGGAGUGAAGGACCAGCAGGCAUGGCUGCCAGGGCAGCAGACAGCUGACUCGGCUUCCUCGAUGGGCAGCUUGCCCCGAUGUCACGGCUGGCAUUCGCCAUGGCCCAUGAAGGCGGUGGAGAGCGCCCCACAGGAGCAGCCUGGCACCAAAGAGGAUACGACGCCUGCCAGGAAUGCCCAGCACACACCCAGUCUCGGGGCACCUGCACUCACAGCUGGGGGAUGUCACCUACGUACCCCGAAUGUGGUAGAUCAUGUGGUGCCUGCACCAAGGCCGUGGCAUGAAGUUCAACAAAAUUUCCCCAAAUUCAUUGUUCA